AUACAGAGGGUGCGAGCGUUAAUCGGAAUUACUGGGCGUAAAGCGCGCGUAGGCGGCUUGGUCAGUCGGAUGUGAAAGCCCUGGGCUCAACCUGGGAAUUGCAUUCGAUACUGCCAAGCUAGAGUAUGGGAGAGGGAAGUGGAAUUUCCGGUGUAGCGGUGAAAUGCGUAGAUAUCGGAAAGAACACCAGUGGCGAAGGCGACUGCCUGGCCCAAUACUGACGCUGAGGUGCGAAAGCGUGGGGAGCGAACAGGAUUAGAAACCCUAGUAGUCC
rnacentral:rRNA from 1 species